CCUACGGGAGGCAGCAGUGGGGAAUUUUGGACAAUGGGCGCAAGCCUGAUCCAGCAAUGCCGCGUGAGUGAAGAAGGCCUUCGGGUUGUAAAGCUCUUUUGUCAGGGAAGAAACGGUGGGAGCUAAUAUCUCUCACUAAUGACGGUACCUGAAGAAUAAGCACCGGCUAACUACGUGCCAGCAGCCGCGGUAAUACGUAGGGUGCAAGCGUUAAUCGGAAUUACUGGGCGUAAAGCGUGCGCGGGCGGUUUUGUAAGUCUGUCGUGAAAGCCCCGGGCUCAACCUGGGAAUUGCGAUGGAGACUGCAAGGCUUGAAUCUGGCAGAGGGGGGUAGAAUUCCACGUGUAGCAGUGAAAUGCGUAGAGAUGUGGAGGAACACCGAUGGCGAAGGCAGCCCCCUGGGUCAAGAUUGACGCUCAUGCACGAAAGCGUGGGGAGCAAACAGGAUUAGAUACCCUGGUAGUCCACGCCCUAAACGAUGUCUACUAGUUGUCGGGUUUUAAUUAACUUGGUAACGCAGCUAACGCGUGAAGUAGACCGCCUGGGGAGUACGGUCGCAAGAUUAAAACCUCAAAGAGUAGUACGGACGCGAGAGAGACGACGACGACGACGACGGAGGGAGGAGG
rnacentral:rRNA from 1 species